rnacentral:rRNA from 1 species
AGUGAACGCUGGCGGUAGGCCUAACACAUGCAAGUCGAACGGCAGCACAGUAAGAGCUUGCUCUUACGGGUGGCGAGUGGCGGACGGGUGAGGAAUACAUCGGAAUCUACUUUUUCGUGGGGGAUAACGUAGGGAAACUUACGCUAAUACCGCAUACGACCUACGGGUGAAAGCAGGGGAUCUUCGGACCUUGCGCGAUUGAAUGAGCCGAUGUCGGAUUAGCUAGUUGGCGGGGUAAAGGCCCACCAAGGCGACGAUCCGUAGCUGGGCUGAGAGGAUGGAUCCGCCCCCCUGGACCUGGGACCCGUCCCCACCCCCUAGGGGGGGCAGCAGGGGGAAAUUUUGGAAAAUGGGGGCAACCCUGCUCCACCCAUCCCGGGGGGGUGAAGAAGGCCUUCGGGUUGUAAACCCCUUUUGUGGGGAAAAAAAAGCAGCAGGUUAAACCCCCGCUGUUCUGCCGGUACCCAAAGAAAAAGCCCCGGCUAACUUCGU